UGCAAGUCGGAUGUGCCGCAAGGUGCAUGGCAGACGGGUGAGUGACGCGUGGGGAAUCUACCUUUUAGUGGGGAAUAACGCUCCGAAAGGAGUGGUAAUACCGCAUGAGACCGCGACCUGGGAUGGUUGUGGUGAAACCUGGGGACCGGUAACGGCCUGGGGCUAAGAGAGGAUCCUGCGUCUGAUUAGCUAGUUGGCGGGGUAAUGGCCCACCAAGGCGACGAUCAGUAGCCGGCCUGAGAGGGUGAUCGGCCACACUGGAACUGAGACACGGUCCAGACUCCUACGGGAGGCAGCAGUGGGGAAUUUUGCGCAAUGGGCGAAAGCCUGACGCAGCAACGCCGCGUGGGUGAUGAAGGUCUUCGGACUGUAAAACCCUGUCGUCAGGGACGAAGGUGGCAGUGUUAAUAGCGCUGUUACUUGACGGUACCUGGAGAGGAAGCCCCGGCUAACUCUGUGCCAGCAGCCGCGGUAAUACAGAGGGGGCAAGCGUUAUUCGGAAUUAUUGGGCGUAAAGGGCGCGUAGGCGGUUUUUUAAGUCAGAUGUGUAAUCCCCGAGCUUAACUUGGGAACUGCAUCUGAGACUGGAAGGCUAGAGUACUGGAGAGGGUGGUGGAAUUCCUCGUGUAGCGGUGAAAUGCGUAGAGAUGAGGAGGAACACCAGUGGCGAAGGCGGCCACCUGGACAGUAACUGACGCUGAGGCGCGAAAGUGUGGGUAGCAAACAGGAUUAGAUACCCUGGUAGUCCACGCUGUAAACGAUGAACACUUGGUGUGGAGGGAGUUGACCCCUUCCG
rnacentral:rRNA from 1 species